AUGUUUAAACCGCAAAAGGUUGCCUUCUCAUGCUCGAACCUUUUGCACAGGCUUCAUGUCAAGUGGACGUCUUCUCUUAUAGCUUUAGAACAAGUUGGAGUCCUUAGGAAAUAUGUGCCUGUCUCAGGCAACUUAAAACAGUUACAGCUUCAUGUAUUUUCGGAUGCUUCCAACAAAGCAAUUGCCGCUGUAGCUUAUCUUAGAGUGUUGCAAGGAGACCAGCCCUAUUUAGGAUUUGUAAUGGGAAAAGCCAAGUUGACACCAUUACAUGGUCAUACAAUGCCACGAUUAGAACUGUGUGCAGCAGUGUUAGCUACACAACUUGUAGAAAUAAUUAAAAGAGAAAUAGACUUAUCUUUCAGUGAUAUCACACUAUAUACAGAUAGUAAAAUUGUUUUGGGUUAUAUAUAUAACACCCAACGAAGAUUCCAUGUAUACGUUAGCAAUAGAGUAGACCAAAUACUCCAGAUAACUAAACCUAAUCAGUGGUGCUACGUAUCUUCAGAAUCAAAUCCAGCAGACCAAGCCACAAGAGAGAUUUAUGCUCAUGAGCUUAUGAAUUCGCAUUGGUUGAAAGGUCCUGACUUUUUAAAGGAGCCAAAAUAUGUGCCUCCAAAGGACCAAGUAUUCAAACUCUGUAACCCAGAAGAAGAUAAAGAGAUAAGAACACUUAGCACCAACAUAUCAAAGUCUCAGGAAGAUCUGUUCUCAAGAAGAUUCAUUAAAUUCUCAUCCUGGAAACGACUAGUUAUAAGUAUAGCUAAGAUCUUACACUUCGUCAACUAUAAAAACAACGAACCUACUUCUGUAGAGGAUAGAAAAGAAGCAGAAUCAAAGAUUAUCCAGAUUGUGCAGUCAGAAGUGUACAAAAGUGAACUACAGUGCCUUAGACAUCACCGGCCUAUACCAAAGUCAAGUACCUUAAGGUAUCUCAACCCCUUUUUGGACAGUUCCGGUCUAAUAAAGGUUGGGGGUCGCUUAGCCCAGGCCAAACUUAAGUUGGGAGAGAAACAUCCUUACAUACUGCCGGCUAAACAUCAUAUCUCACUACUCCUCAUAAGACAUUAUCAUGCUAAAAUAUAUCACCAAGGCAGACACUUCACAGAAGGAGCAGUGAGAAGUGCUGGAAUUUGGAUAGUGGGAAUGAAAAGGUUGAUCACUAAAGUUGUUAAUGACUGUGUUAUUUGUAAAAGACUUAGGGCUGAACAUCCCCAUCAAAUCAUGGCUGACUUACCAAGGGAUCGUGUCACUAUACAACCACCAUUCACCAAUGUUGGUGUCGACAUUUUUGGUGCAUGGGAAAUAGUAACUAGAAGAACAAGAGGAGGAGUAGUAAGCAACAAAAGGUGGGCAGUAAUGUUUACUUGUCUAUCCUUACGAGCUGUUCACAUCGAACUUGUAGAAUCCAUGGAUUCAACAUCAUUCAUUUAUGCUCUACAACGUUUUUUCGCAAUCAGAGGUCCAGUGAAACUUCUGAGAUCGGACUGUGGUACGAAUUUUAAAGGCGCAUGUAAAGAUCUAGAAUGUCCAGAGAGGUCUAUGUUAGAUCCAGAUGUUCAAGUAUUCCUCAAGCAAGAAGGUUGCAAAUGGCUAUUCAAUCCUCCACAUGCAUCUCACAUGGGGGGAGCAUGGGAAAGGAUGAUAGGUAUCGUCAGAAGAAUUCUUGAUGCCAUGUUGUUAAAUAUUACCAUUCUUACUCACAAGAUUCUCGUCACCCUUAUGGCAGAAGUGAUGUCUAUAAUUAACAGCCGUCCUCUAACACCAAUAUCAACAGAUCCAGAGGAUCCAAAUGUGUUGACACCAGCGACCUUGUUGACCUUCAAGACACCAGAAUGGAAAGACAUUACUAUUGCAGCAGAGCUGAAGAACAUCCAUCGUAAACAGUGGCAGCAAGUGCAAUCAUUAGCCAAUACAUUUUGGAAACGAUGGAAAAGAGAAUAUCUGCCUCUGUCACGACCCAGGCUGCAGAGCACCAAUAACCAUACACAGAGGCCAGAAUCUAUCUAAUAUCUUUAUUAAGGAAAUAUAUAAAGUUAAUAAAAACAAGUAUAGGAAAUAGUCCAGAAGUAGACCUUUCAGGAAAGGUCAAAAUUAGUCCAAAAAAGUAAUGUCCAAUAUGAAAUAUUAAGGUCCAAAGUUGUAAUCCAAUAACCGAAACACUCACUUGCCAAGCAAGUGAGGGGAGAUGACAAGGUCCUUUAGUCCAUGAACUUGAGCAAGGCUAGGAAAUAACUUGAUUCUUGGCACACAAAGCUUGAUUCAAGGCAACAAGGAAACGAGGAGCAAGAACAAGAUCCGUGGUAAUUACUUGGCGAGGUCCGGAAAACAAGGCAAGAUCCGGGGAGAAAACAAGGCUGAGAACGAAGGCUUGGAACAGGAACAAAGGCUUGAAAGCAGGAGUAGCUGUCCACACACGCUGCUCCGGUAGCUGACGAAUUGACUCCGCAAGAUUCCUUCGGGAGCAAGGAACCUAAAUAGGCCUCGUUUUCCCACCAGAGAACACUUCUCUGGGGAAUCAGAAACGAAAGUCAAUCUCUGUGUCCAGAUGUAUGACUCCCUAAAAUUUCUCAUGGCAGCAGGCUUAAUCAUCUGAAUGCUUUGCUGCAAUUCUCAAACUCCUGCGAUUAGCUUGUUGCACUCCUUUUUGCUGGAGAUAAUAAUUACGGCGCGAAAAAGGGGGAGAACUCGACUCAGGGCUUGUUUGGCAGAUUUCUGGAAGACAAGCCUCCUGCAGGUGCAAAGGCUCAAUUUCUGGCUGGGAUAGUUCCUUUUCUGGCUGAAAUGGUGGAAAACCCAAGUUUUCCUCUUCAUCAUUCACAACAGCACUAGGAACGGGACUACAUGGCCCAUGAGUCAUCACACUAUCCCCCUCCUCAAGCCCCCUCUCAAACUGGGACUCUCUCCCCGAGGCGUGAGGCCGCGGCUUGGCGGGAUAGGUCAGAUGGAAGCGGCGGGUUAAAUCGGGGGCAUGGACUGUGGAAGCGUCUUCCCAAGAACGUUCCUCGGGGCCAAAACCCACCCAGUCAAUGAGAUAUUGUAGGCGGCGGCGGUGAAAGCGAGAAUCCAAAAUGUCCUGAACCUCGAAUUCCUCCUCCCCAUCCACCAAAACAGGAGUGGGGGCCGGCCGGUCUGCAUCAGGGCGCACACCUUCCGCCGGAAGGAGCAGAGAGCGAUGAAACACUGGAUGAAUGCGCAUAGAGCGCGGAAGUUGGAGUUUGAAAGUCACGGGGUUAAGUUGCGCCACCACUGGGUAGGGCCCAAUGAAACGGGCAUCUAAUUUCCGGCAAGGGCGAUGGGAGGGCAAAAAGCGAGUGGACAGAAGAACCUGGUCUCCUACCUUGAUUUCGGGGCCCGGCUGGCGAUGUUUGUCAGCGUGGCGUUUAUAGUCCUCCUUGGCUUGGUCCAGUUGCUGGAGCAAAAGUUGUUGCACCGCUGUGAGUUCCUGCAGCCAGUCCUCUGCUGCGGGAACUUCUGAGGUUUCAAUGACAGGAGGAAAGAAACGUGGAUGGAAGCCGUAGUUUGCAAAGAACGGGGUUUCUUUAGUUGAAGCCUGGACCCCAUUGUUGUAGGCAAACUCUGACAGCGGUAACAGGGAAACCCAAUUGUCCUGCUGGUAGUUCACAUAACAGCGAAGGUAUUGUUCCAAAGUGGCAUUGGUGCGCUCAGUUUGCCCAUCCGUUUGGGGAUGGUGAGCCGAAGAUAAACGAGUCUAUGCCCAAUAGUUUUUGUAGUGCUUUCCAGAACCGAGAGGUGAAUUGGGACCCACGGUCUGUGACCAAACUCUUGGGCAAUCCAUGUAAUCUGAAAACAUGUUGAAGGAAUAGAUCUGCAGUCUCUUUGGCCGUGGGAAGGCCAUCACAGGGAAUGAAAUGGGCUAACUUGGUAAAAAGGUCCACCACCACUAGGAUCGUGGUGAAUCCGCAGGAAGGUGGUAGAUCAGUGAUAAAAUCCGCAGAGAUUAUUUCCCAUGGGUGGGAUGGGGUAGGGAGGGGAUGCAGAAGCCCUGAGGGUCUUUCCCUUCUUGUCUUGGAGCGCUGGCAUACUGGGCAGGUGUUGACAUAUUUCUCCACAUCCUUGCGGAUCUUGGGCCACCAGAAGUCUCUUAGGAUCAAAUGCAUGGUUUUGAAUAGUCCGAAAUGCCCUGCUGGCUUGCAGUCAUGACACAGACGAAAGUGCUUUUUCCCUGCCCGGUCCUGGAGGGAUGUAAACAUGAUUUCUAUAGCAAAGUAGCCCAUCCUUAAGCGAAAAGGGAAAAUGUAGUCCUUGGCGAAAGUUGGUCCUGUGCCCAGGCAUCUGCUUGCUGACUAGCCCUGAUUUCCUGAGCACAAAGGGGCCCUGGAGUAGAGGGAGUUGAUUCAAUGGGAGUGGAUUUGGUGUUUCCCACUGUGAGCGUGGCAAAGUUCCCGGGCUGCAGCAGUUGGGACUCAAAGGUCUCUUUGCGCCCUGCAGCAUAUUCCGGUUUCCGUGACAGAGCAUCUGCUUGCUUGGUCUGGGCUGGGGUUACAUAAUGGAUUUGGAAGUUAAAACGUUCAAAGAAUAAAGCCCAGCGUUGUUGCCUCUGAUUUAGCUUGCGGGCAGUUCUUAGAUGCUCUAGAUUCCGAUGAUCAGUAUGGACUUCAAUGGGAAAUUUGGCCCCUUCUAACCAAUGUCUCCAAGUUUCAAAGGCUGCCUUUAUGGCCAAAAGUUCCUCUUCCCAAAUAGUGUAAUUUCUCUCUGGUGCGGUCAAUUGACGGGAAUAAAAGGCACAAGGGUGAAGAUGAUCUCCCACUGGUUGUAGGAGUACAGCCCCAAUCGCCACAUCGGAGGCGUCCGCCUGCACGACAAAUGGGGUUUCAGGAUCUGGGUGCUGAAGGAUUGGCUGUGGACGUGAAUAAUUUCUUUAGUUGCUGGAACCCUUUCUCUGU
rnacentral:lncRNA from 1 species